AUUGAACGCUGGCGGAAUGCUUUACACAUGCAAGUCGAACGGCAGCCCGGACUUCGGUCUGGUGGCGAGUGGCGAACGGGUGAGUAAUGUAUCGGAGCGUGCCCAGUCGUGGGGGAUAACGUAGUGAAAAUUACGCUAAUACCGCAUACGAUCUAUGGAUGAAAGCGGGGGAUGGCAAGACCUCCCGCGAUUGGAGCGGCCGAUAUCAGAUUAGGUAGUUGGUGGGGUAAAGGCCCACCAAGCCAACGAUCUGUAGCUGGUCUGAGAGGACGACCAGCCACACUGGAACUGAGACACGGUCCAGACUCCUACGGGAGGCAGCAGUGGGGAAUUUUGGACAAUGGGCGAAAGCCUGAUCCAGCCAUUCCGCGUGCAGGAUGAAGGCCCUCGGGUUGUAAACUGCUUUUGUACAGAACGAAAAGGUUUCUACUAAUACUAGGAGCUCAUGACGGUACUGUAAGAAUAAGCACCGGCUAACUACGUGCCAGCCGCCGCGGUAA
rnacentral:rRNA from 1 species